GUGCUUGCUUCGGCAGCACAUAUACUAAAAUUGGAAUGAUACAGAGAAGAUUAGCAUGGCCCCUGUGCAAGGAUGACAUGUAAAUUCGUGAAGCAUUCCAUAUUUAA
ensembl:snRNA U6 U6 spliceosomal RNA